GAUGAAGAACGUAGCGAAAUGCGAUAAGUAAUGUGAAUUGCAGAAUUCAGUGAAUCAUCGAAUCUUUGAACGCAACUUGCGCCCUUUGGUAUUCCGAAGGGCAUGCCUGUUUGAGUGUCAUAUAAACCUCACCUCUACUGUUUUUCAUUAGACAUGUGGAUUGGUGCUUUGGGUGUCUGCCGUUUACUCUGGCUCGCCUUAAAUGUCUAAGUGGAAUGCGUAAUAAGUCUUCGCAACCCUCCACUCUAAUACAAAACUUUUAUAUUCUGACCUCAAAUCAGGUAGGACUACCCGCUGAACUUAAGCAUAUCAAUAAGCCGGAGGA
rnacentral:misc_RNA from 1 species